UACCAGCACCCCGAGUGGUCGGGACGAUUAUUGGGCCUAAAGCCUCCGUAGCCGGUUCUCCAAGUCUUCCGUUAAAUCCACCUGCUCAACAGAUGGGCUGCGGAGGAUACUAUAGAGCUAGGAGGCGGGAGAGGCAAGCGGUACUUAGUGGGUAGGGGUAAAAUCCGUUGAUCCAUUGAAGACCACCAGUGGCGAAGGCGGCUUGCCAGAACGCACUCGACGGUGAGGGAUGAAAGCUGGGGGAGCAAACCGG
rnacentral:rRNA from 1 species